UACGUAGGGUGCGAGCGUUGUCUGGAUUUAUUGGGCGUAAAGAGCUCGUAGGCGGUUUGUCGCGUCGGCCGUGAAAUCUCCACGCUUAACGUGGAGCGUGCGGUCGAUACGGGCAGACUUGAGUUCGGUAGGGGAGACUGGAAUUCCUGGUGUAGCGGUGAAAUGCGCAGAUAUCAGGAGGAACACCGGUGGCGAAGGCGGGUCUCUGGGCCGAUACUGACGCUGAGGAGCGAAAGCGUGGGGAGCGAACAGG
rnacentral:rRNA from 1 species